UCUUGACAAAUAUAAGAGGUCCAGCCUGCCCAGUGACUUAGUUCAACGGCCGCGGUAUCCUAACCGUGCGAAGGUAGCGUAAUCACUUGUUCUUUAAAUGAGGACUAGUAUGAAUGGCAUCACGAGGGUUGCACUGUCUCCUUUUUUUAAUCAGUGAAACUAAUCUUCCCGUGAAGAAGCGGGAAUAUUACUAUAAGACGAGAAGACCCUAUGGAGCUUUAAACAAAUUAACACUUGCUGCCUAAGAUAACUUUUUCAGAAACACAACACACAGCAUAGCAUGAUGAUUAAUAGUUUUCGAUUGGGGUGAUCACGGAGUAAAAAAUAACCUCCAUGCCGAAAGGGCUCUUCCCUGAGCAAAAAGCCACAACUUUAAGCACUAAAAAAAUUAACGUUUAUUGACCCAAUACUUUGAUCAACGAACCAAGUUACCCUAGGGAUAACAGCGCAAUCCACUUCAAGAGCUCCUAUCGACAAGUGGGUUUACGACCUCGAUGUUGGAUCAGGGUAUCCCAGUGG
rnacentral:rRNA from 1 species